CCUGCGCCUUCGCCAGCCACCGGGAGGGGGACCCGAACCGCUCGCUGGCUGGCUGCUUGGCUCGCCGGCUGGCCGGCUUUUGCGGGCGUCCGGAGGCCGGGGAAGAUGUGAGCAGGUUCGCGGGGACGCCGGCCGCAUCCCGGGGACUCAUGCAGGGGCGCACGGCCAAGGGGAUGCUGCGCGCGCCGGCCCCCUCGCCCUCUCCACCGCCCCCUGCGCGCUCGCCCGCCAAGACCCGCCGCCCCCCGCCCGAGUGAGCGCGGCUGCGGGGCCGGACGGGAGGAGGGACCCCCCCCCCCACAACGUCGGAAGCCCGGGGAAGUUGGGGCGCCCGGUUGCCCACGGGGGAGAUUCACCCGACGCCCCCCAGAAGGGGCAGGUGGAGACAAGCCGCCUUCCACAACCGAGAGCCAUGAUCAGUUCUCAACAUCGGGCAUUUCUGGGAAAUAGUUCCCCUUCGGCCGGAGUUCAUUGCUUCUAACAGACCUUGCCGUGCGAAUUGAGGAUUUGGAAAAAAACUGUGGACACUUUAGCAAGGGGAGCGGAGGACUUUGUUCAACAUCUUGGGAAUUCUACAAAGGUUUCAUGCCAAAGAAGAAGGCCUGAGCCCAGCCGGAUUGUUGCUACUGGUAAAGCGGUUCUUCCUGAGAUGAAUCUCACAGAGAGCUG